UGGGGAAUAUUGCACAAUGGGCGCAAGCCUGAUGCAGCCAUGCCGCGUGUAUGAAGAAGGCCUUCGGGUUGUAAAGUACUUUCAGCGGGGAGGAAGGCGAUAAGGUUAAUAACCUUGUCGAUUGACGUUACCCGCAGAAGAAGCACCGGCUAACUCCGUGCCAGCAGCCACGGUAAUACGGAGGGUGCAAGCGUUAAUCGGAAUUACUGGGCGUAAAGCGCACGCAGGCGGUCUGUCAAGUCGGAUGUGAAAUCCCCGGGCUCAACCUGGGAACUGCAUUCGAAACUGGCAGGCUAGAGUCUUGUAGAGGGGGGUAGAAUUCCAGGUGUAGCGGUGAAAUGCGUAGAGAUCUGGAGGAAUACCGGUGGCGAAGGCGGCCCCCUGGACAAAGACUGACGCUCAGGUGCGAAAGCGUGGGGAGCAAACA
rnacentral:rRNA from 1 species